rnacentral:sRNA from 1 species
AGAAGAGGUAUGUGGAAAAGAUUGGUG